GUCAAAUAAAACCAUCGCUAGGUUCCUUAAACUUCUGUUAUCAUUUCAAUCUAGCAACUUUCAUCCACACCCCCCCUAACUCAUAUAGCUGCUUUACGUUCAUUUCCUUAAUCAAUAUUUGUCUACUUGGUAGUGCUAUUCUAAGGGCACAUCACUUUUUAGCAUAAACAUAUCAACACGUAAAUAACUACGUACCAAUCAUGUAAUUCAAUUGAAAAUAGCACAUCACAUAAAACAUAACAUGUAAGCUAACUGCCGCAACAUAAAGAAUUUAUCCCCUUUCAACCAACCCACUUCAUUGACGAGCUGGAAUCUCAGAAUCAGAUCCGAGAUGGUUCCCCUUGUCGCCACGAAACCAUAGCUCCCGACAAUGCAUCAUUUGGAGGUCAAACGGUCGAGUUAUACCUUGUGUUGUUUGUAAUUGGUUAAAACUUCGAGGGGCACAAAUGUCAGUUCACUGCCGAAUUUGAAAAAUUACAUGAACAGUUCUCCAAAUUUAUUAAAGUUACAGACAGCUCACUUAACUUUCCAGGUUGCAAAUAGGUCCCUGAGCUUUCCAGAACUUGCAGAUUGGUCAUGGAGAUUUACAGAACUUGCGCUUUGGUCAGUCGUCUUCAACCUAAUACUUCGGCGAGACCAGUUCGUUGGAACUGCGGUUUCUAGCUUCGGAUCACCCUAACUCCUCCGUUCGAUGCACCGAAGACUCCAUAUCCCCUUCGCCGGGUCAGCUACAACUCCAUACGCGCCCUCGCCGUCCACUGCACGUAGCCGCCGCCGCCGAACCUUUCCCCUAAUCCAACCUCGCGAUCGUAAGCUUGCACCGUCGAGUCCGCUCGUUGUCAAUCGUCCGCCCUUCCAUCGAUCCGUCGCCACUGCUUGUUCCGAUCUCCGUUCAAUUGAUCUCCUCCCUCCGUCGUGCCGUCAUGGAUCGAGAUGAGAUAAAUCGUCCGGGUGAGGGAAAGAUAGAUAAAGGGUUCGUAAUUUCCAAUUUAAGGGGGGCCUUUCUUGGCUGGACUAAUCGAAUGGACUAAUUCCAUAUGAUCUCCAUCAGUUUCGGUUGCACCGAUAUGGAAUGACCGCAUCUGAAAAUUUUGGAAAGAAACCUCGGAAAGGAGGGAAAGAGACGGGCUAACGUCAUCCAUGACGUCAUCGGCUAUUGAUUUAAAU
rnacentral:lncRNA from 1 species